UUGCUUUCGUGUGCAGAACUUCCAGUGGGAAACUUUGCCUGGGUGUCUUUUAUACGAAGACCAAUAUCCUUGCCAGUGUUUACGUCUUAAGUAUUAUUACGGGUGAAAUGUUCAACAGAGCCGGGCUACAUUCUUCAAUAGAAAAGGCAUCUAUGAGGGAAGAGUAGAAAAAUAUCAAAAACAGUAAACUCACCUAGUUUUCAGUCUCAGCUUCAAGCGUCCAGGCAACCUUCGAGACGUUUGGAAACACAACACCGCCACCUUCUGGUGGAGUCAUGCCAUCGUUCUCUCUGCCAGUCGAUGGGGAGAUGGUGAAGCAUCCUGCCGCUAAGAUUGCUGAAGUGCCAGCAGUUUGUCCCUCCAUGCUCCACACUGACCACAGUUGUCCUGCUACUGCUCCUGGCCAAGUUAACACAGAAGACAACAGUGUUCUGGCUAAGCUGCUGGAAGCUUCGAGGAGCAACUACUACAGAUACUAUGGCAACUGCAGACACCUGUGAGACAGUGCCUUGGGUUCAAAGUCUGGCUGCCAUUGCUGAGCUGGAAAAGGCAGAGGCCACCAAGCUGGGAUAGCUGUGUACUGGAUCAGUUUGACCAAGUAUUCUCUCCUAAGGGUUGGGCAUGAUGGAAAAACGAAGGAGAGUAUGGUUGGGGGAAACUCACAGGUAGGUGGUACAGCUUUGGAGACCAUGGCCAAGAGAGUUGGUCAUAAAGCUGCCUAAGCAAUAAAUGGGUGAGUGGGAAUUUUGCUAAUUCUUUUCCAUUGGGGUUCUUUCCAAGUGACUGGUUCACUGGAAAUGCACCUGGAGCUACCAUUUUUCACUCAGCAGGUUCUUCCAUAGAGAUCUAAGAAUACAGUCAGUCUUAAGAAAUGGUUAUUGGAGGGCUGGCUAGGUAGCUCAGUAGGUAAAGGCUCUUGUCACCAAGCUGGAUGACAUGAAUUCAACCCUCAAGACAUACAUGGUAGAAAUUAAGAACAGACUUCUUCAAGCUGUUAUCUGAUCAUGGUGUGUGCAUAUUUGCACACACACACACCCAUACACACACCCACCCACCCACACACACACACACACACACACACACACACACACACACACACACAUGAACACAGACAUACAUACUAAAUAUAGUUAAAAAGAAAUAGUGAUGGGAAUGAAUGAAUUUUGUAUUUCAUUUCUGAACACCCUGCUGGGACCAGACUGGAAGUAAAUUUCCAUUUACUACCCCACCAACUUGACCCCAAACCCCAC
rnacentral:lncRNA from 1 species